rnacentral:rRNA from 1 species
AUACGGAAGGUCCGGGCGUUAUCCGGAUUUAUUGGGUUUAAAGGGAGCGCAGGCGGAGAUGCAAGCGUGACGUCAAAUUUCGGGGCUCAACCCCGUCUCGCGUCGCGAACUGCGUCCCUUGGUUGCGGGAAGGGGAGGCGGAACUCGUGGUGUAGCGGUGAAACGCAUAGAUAUCACGAAGAACUCCGAUCGCGAAGGCAGCCUUCCGGCCCGUCAACGACGCUCAUGCUCGAAGGUGCGGGUAUCAAACAGGAUUAGAUACCCUGGUAGUCCGCACAGUAAACGAUGGACACCCGCGGUUUGGCCUAUAUGGCUGAGCCGCCAAGCGAAAGCGUUAAGUGUCCCACCUGGGGAGUACGCCGGCAACGGUGAAACUCAAGGGAAUUGACGGGG